rnacentral:lncRNA from 1 species
AACGUACUAUGACACCAAUAAUUAUUGAAGAUAUUUCCAGUUCUUCAGCCCCUUCAGUUAUCCAUACUAGAAGAGACACUGAAGUUCUCAAUAAUCCUUCAAUCAAAAAUGUUAAGUUAAAAGGCGUGCUUAAUCAAGGUCAAGCCAGUCACCCUUGUUAUGCUCCUAAAGAUUUUGCUGAAGAAGAAAGUUCUUCUUCUCCCACUUCUUCUGUGAUGCCCACUCAGUCAGAUUUUG